GGCCUGCCUCCCUUGGGGCUGUGGGGGUCCCUCUCCUCCCAGUCAGGGCUUGGAGGGCCGAGAGUAGCCUGCUGAGGCCAUCGUCGGGACUGCGCGAGCUGGGCAGCCCCGUUUUCCUACCUCACACAUCU
rnacentral:snoRNA from 1 species